UACGUAGGGUGCGAGCGUUGUCCGGAAUUAUUGGGCGUAAAGAGCUCGUAGGCGGUCUGUCGCGUCGAUCGUGAAAACUUGGGGCUUAACCCUGAGCUUGCGGUCGAUACGGGCAUGACUGGAGUUCGGCAGGGGAGACUGGAAUUCCUGGUGUAGCGGUGAAAUGCGCAGAUAUCAGGAGGAACACCGGUGGCGAAGGCGGGUCUCUGGGCCGAUACUGACGCUGGGGUGCGAAAGCAUGGGGAGCGAACAGG
rnacentral:rRNA from 1 species